rnacentral:snRNA from 1 species
GCACCGGAUCCCAUCAGAACUC